GCCUCUGUAACUCAGUGGCAGAGCGUUGGUCUUGUAAACCCGGGGUCGGCAGUUCAAUGCUCAUAGGAGGCA